AACGAACGCUGGCGGCAUGCCUAACACAUGCAAGUCGAACGCCCCGCAAGGGGAGUGGCGGACGGGUGAGUAACACGUGGGAACCUGCCCAAUGGUCUGGAAUAACCGCGGGAAACUGCGGCUAAUACCGGAUAAGCCCGAGAGGGGAAAGAUUUAUCGCCGAUGGAGGGGCCCGCGUCCGAUUAGGUAGUUGGUGGGGUAAUGGCCUACCAAGCCUACGAUCGGUAGCUGGUCUGAGAGGAUGAUCAGCCACACUGGGACUGAGAUACGGCCCAGACUCCUACGGGAGGCAGCAGUGGGGAAUAUUGGACAAUGGGGGCAACCCUGAUCCAGCAAUGCCGCGUGAGUGAUGAAGGCCUUAGGGUUGUAAAGCUCUUUUGGCGGGGACGAUGAGACGGAA
rnacentral:rRNA from 1 species